rnacentral:lncRNA from 1 species
CCACGUACACGCGAACGUCCUGAACUACCCGGUGCCCUCCGAUCUCCGAGAAGUGAGUCGUCGUCGUCCUCCUCCUCCUCCUCCUGGCCCCUCCUGCGUCUUCUCCGCCGCCNNNNNNNNNNNNNNNNNNNNNNNNNNNNNNNNNNNNNNNNNNNNNGGGCGGGUGUUUGCUACCGCGGCCAACUCCCUCCCUCCCUGCCGUUCCCCGGAUCCCCUGAGACUUACCCGAAGGCGGCCACAAGAAGAGCAGCAGCAGCAACAGCUGGGCAGCCCCGCGCACCAUCCCGCGCCGGUGACCGCCGGCCACGGAAGCUCCUCCCCGCCGCUGCGUCUCCGACACAGGGCAGCAGCUCCGGUCUCGGCCGCCCGGACAGGAGAGAGGCUGAGCGCCGGUGGAAGAGCCAAGGGGGGUGAGGGGGACCCGGUAGGAAGGAACGGAAUCCGCAAGCGGGUGGAUCGGCGGAGCUCCUGAGGGCCGGAAGCGGGCCGAAAACUAUAUUACAGCGUCCGACGCCGGGAUCGCUUCCUCGAUCCGCCGCCCGUUCCGACGCUAAACCUUCGCCGCCGCUGUUUGUUAUUGUCGUCACUCUCUUCCGCCGCAAAGCACGCUGGGAAAGUCACAGGGCCGGAAGAGCGCGAGGGAAGAGGAUUGCGGAACCACAGAGAACACCAGGUGGUUCUCAGGAUAGAGCGUCCAGAGGGGUCUCCUUUUCAGGGAUGGAUGCGAGGGGGGAGGGUGCAUUAUUCCCGCUUCGGAACGCGGGCACUAUCACAGAGAGGGAAAUGGCAGAAAGGCCAGGAAGGGCCGGCUUGUUAGAGGUUCGGAGGCUGAAAAUAGAAAGAGUUGGUGAUGGAGGAAGAAAAAGAAAUUUUCUUGCCCACCAAGAAGCACUUCUUUCAUUUUCAUCCUUGAUAUCCGCAAUACUGUUGAUCAAGUUGUGCUACCAAGUAAGGCUAGGAAAAAUGGCUUAUAGAGACUUUGGACUUUAAACUGUUCAGCUGUGUUGAUCAAUGUAAAGAUUGGGAAAGAGUACAUAUUGCCAUUUUUGCUAGGAGCUGCUUAAGCUCUGUAGAGUGGGAGCUUACGAAUAAUCAUUGGAAUAGUUUUCGCUAUAUAUUCCUCUGCAGGUGAUUGAUUAUAGUGGGUCAGUCAUUUUAUGAAGGAUAGUGGGGAUCUUGUAUACUGUGUGGCAGUUUUAGUUGUCCCAGUGUUCAUUGGGAGAGUUAAAGAAUUAAAAGAAACAGAUUUUCUGGAAUAAUUUUGCAGUCAUUACACUCUUGUGAUUUUGAAUUUUGCUCAUUUUGACCACAUUAGUGGAUGCUCUUGUUUUGACUUAGUGAAAGCAUCUAUAUAAUUUGUGUCACUCUGAAAUCUUGCAGGAAACUAAUAUGGGAAUGGAUUACCUUCCUGUU